GACGAACCUAGCGAACGUUGUUCGGAAUCACUGGGCUUAAAGGGCGCGUAGGCGGGCUGUCAAGUCCGGGGUGAAAUCUUUCGGCUUAACCGGAAAAGUGCCUUGGAUACUGAUGGUCUCGAGGGAGGUAGGGGCAGCUGGAACUUCCGGUGGAGCGGUGAAAUGCGUUGAUAUCGGAAGGAACUCCGGUGGCGAAAGCGAGCUGCUGGACCUCUUCUGACGCUGAGGCGCGAAAGCUAGGGGAGCAAACGGG
rnacentral:rRNA from 1 species